GACUAGCUGAAAACAUCCACGAGCUUUGGGGAAUGAAUAAAAUAGAACUUGGCUGGACUUUCGGCAAGUGCCAGCUGUCAAAACUUAAAUCACAUUCUU
rnacentral:sRNA from 1 species